UAAGGUGCUCCUACUUGCUUGUGAUUUGAUGAAGCAACAUGUUCCUGCUGUCAUCACGCAGGCUGUUCUGCAGUUAUGUGCUCGUUUGACAAAAACCCAUGCUUUGGCACUGAAAUUUCUUGAAGGUGGAGGAUUAGUAGCUCUUUUUAAUCUUCCAAGGAGUUGUUUUUUCCCUGGAGUUGCUGCUGCUAUUAUUCGGCAUCUCAUUGAAGACCCUCAGACUUUGCAAACUGCUAUGGAAUUGGAGA
rnacentral:misc_RNA from 1 species